rnacentral:rRNA from 1 species
UGGGGAAUAUUGGACAAUGGAGGGAACUCUGAUCCAGCAAUUCUGCGUGUGUGAAGAAGGUUUUAGGACUGUAAAACACUUUUAGUAGGGAAGAAAAAAAUGACGGUACCUACAGAAGAAGCAACGGCUAAAUACGUGCCAGCAGCCGCGGUAAUACGUAUGUUGCGAGCGUUAUCCGGAAUUAUUGGGCUUAAAGGGCAUCUAGGCGGUAAGACAAGUUGAAGGUGAAAACCUGUGGCUCAACCAUAGGCUUGCCUACAAAACUGUUGAACUAGAGUACUGGAAAGGUGGGUGGAACUACACGAGUAGAGGUGAAAUUCGUAGAUAUGUGUAGGAAUGCCGAUGAUGAAGAUAACUCACUGGACAGAAACUGACGCUGAAGUGCGAAAGCUAGGGGAGCAAACAGG